UUUUGCACAACCAGUGACACUCUUUUCCUCAUGCUGCGAAUGCUUUCCUCAUCAUGUUCUCUUCAGGACACUCGGGAUGAAACAGCUGUGCUUUGGCUCGAUGAAACUCAGGAUGGGAUUCAGAAGGCUAACAAGGACACUGAAGAGUCACAGAGAUGUAAGCAUUGUGGCAAAUACCGUGGUUCAAUGCCAUUGUCAACCAAAUAUUCGUCACCAAAUGAAAGAAUGCGAGCAAGAAAUGUACACAUGCAAAGGAAAUUAAAAUACAAGUGUUUGCUUCAGUUUCCUUAGGAAUUCUGGCCGUGAAUGAGGCAGUCGGUGACGGAGAUACCAGCCCUACCCUGAGUGCCUUGUGCUCACCAGAUGUGGGGCUGUACGGAGUUGCUGCAGAGUGUGCAGAGACAUAGCAGCGAGAGUUGGCAGAAGUGGAAAGGAGAAAAAUGGCCACAGGAGGCAGUGGCAGUGAACGGGUGAAACACUGGGUGAGAGGAGGCUGUCAUCAUUAUCAUAACGUGAGGAGCAGAGAGGGAGGAUGGGAUGAAGCGACGGAAUUUGUGCAGAAUGACACACAGCUGUCACGGGAGGAGAUGCAGGUAAAAGCACUGUAUCUGGAGUCACGGCAGCAUAGGACCGAGAGCAGUUGUGGCUGGUCAAAGAGAACCUGAUGGUGAAGCUUCAGGCUUGUUGUCGAGGCUGUCUUGUUUGUCAGGAAUUCAACUCCAGAAUGAGGUUUUUGAAGAAGCAAGUUCCAGCCAUCACUUGCAUGCAGUCCCAGUGGCGUGGCUAUAAACAGAGGAAGGCAUAUCAAAUCCGUUUGGAUUACUGACGAGCACGCAAGGACCAAGAAGUGAAGGUAGCAAAU